GACACAUGAUAACUAUUAUGAUGAAUGUGGGAUGUCUUUUUGUAAUUAGACCGUGUCAUUUGCUAAGAAUAAACAAGAAUUUAAGGAGCAAUAGAAGGAAAUGUCAUUGGUGUAGAAGAAGUAGUUUUCAUUUGCCUUUGAAAGCGUGUGCACACUAUUUAUGCUACAUCAGCACUUAAAGUAAUAUUUAUUACACUUUAAAAAUAAUUUAGAAGUAAAU
rnacentral:lncRNA from 1 species